GACGAACCGUGCGAACGUUGUUCGGAAUCACUGGGCUUAAAGGGCGCGUAGGCGGACAUUCAAGUCAGGGGUGAAAUCCCCCAGCUCAACUGGGGAACUGCCUUUGAUACUGGGUGUCUCGAGUAAGGUAGGGGCAUGCGGAACUGAUGGUGGAGCGGUGAAAUGUGUUGAUAUCAUCAGGAACUCCGGUGGCGAAGGCGGCAUGCUGGACCUUCACUGACGCUGAGGCGCGAAAGCCAGGGGAGCGAACGGG
rnacentral:rRNA from 1 species